GUUCCAUAAAUUGCUCCAGGUGGUUGUGGUGCUCAGGGAAAAGGGUAAAAUUUGGGAGUCAAUGUAUUUUGCAACCAGGACUGUAGUUAGAAUGUGGUUUCCAGUAUCUCUCCAGCAUUUUGAAAACAUUUUCCUUUGACAGGAACUCAAGAAGCAGGAAAUGGCUGAAGCUGGGACCCAACCAUGCGAGUUCCUUAAGGGUCUCGGUGCAUAGGCCUUACAGGUUGUUUUUUUUAAGCACUUGUGCCACGUCAGGUCUGUAUGAAAGACCAGAGCUUGUGGAACAGCCAUCUUGUGUGCUUGCCUGAAGUGAACCUGAGAGUAGGCAGUACAUUUUAACAGGAGGAUCACAUAACCUGAGUUUUAUUACAGAUGUCAAGUUCAUUGGAGUGAGGAACAAAGAAGGUCAUGUGAAGUGGCUACAGGCCUCUUGCACAGUAUGAAACAGGCUAAGAAUCACCUAAAUAAGAGCAUCAACAUUCAUCUGCAAAUGUCCUACAACUGAAAAAUCUACAUCUAAUUCAGGCACUGAUAAGAUUCAUCUGGGAUUGUCAUUAUUCAGAGCCCAUUGCAGUUAUGAGCUGCCAUAACCCAUCAGCAGUGAAGCCCAAUGCCAUAUCCCAUCCACAGCAGAGCCUGGAAGUAUCUGAAGGGAGAUUAUGCACCUAGAACUACACUAGAGGUAUAAGAAGGCAUUCUUUUCUGUUCUAUCUCAUAUUCUUUGCCUGCAGCGCUGUUUCUGUUCCACUGAAACUUUGUCUUCCACCAAAGACUACAUUAUUUGUCUCGAUGCCUGCCAUUGUGAAAUCUUGCAAAUUAU